GCUCUGACCACUGGAGAGAAAGGAUUGGAUUAUAAGUGUUCCCUUCUUUCACAGAAUUAUUCCAGGGUUUAUGUGUCAGGGUGGUGACUUCACAUGCCAUAAUGGCACUGGUGGCAAGUCCAUCUACGGGGAGAAAUUUAAUAAUGAGAACUUCAUCCUAAAGCAUACAGGUCCUGGCAUCUUGUCCAUGGCAAAUGCUGGACCCAUCACAAACAGUUCCCAGUUUUUCAUCUGCACUGCCAAGACUGAGUGGUUGGAUGGCAGGCCAUGUGGUCUUUGGCAAGUUGAAAGAAGGCAUGAAUAUUGUGGAGGCCAUGGAGUGCUUUGGGUCCAGUGGCAAGACCAAGACCACCAUUGCUGACUGUG
rnacentral:lncRNA from 1 species